rnacentral:rRNA from 1 species
UACGUAGGGUGCAAGCGUUAAUCGGAAUUACUGGGCGUAAAGCGUGCGCAGGCGGUUGUGCAAGUCAGAUGUGAAAUCCCCGGGCUUAACCUGGGAAUUGCAUUUGUGACUGCACGGCUAGAGUGUGUCAGAGGGGGGUAGAAUUCCACGUGUAGCAGUGAAAUGCGUAGAUAUGUGGAGGAAUACCGAUGGCGAAGGCAGCCCCCUGGGAUAACACUGACGCUCAUGCACGAAAGCGUGGGGAGCAGACAGG